GGCAGUAUGAUGUAGUGGUUUGAAUGUUGGACUAAGACUUUGGAGAUCAAGGUUUGAUUCCCUGCUCAGCCA